rnacentral:rRNA from 1 species
GGGGCGAAGCCUGAUCCAGCCAUACCGCGUGAGUGAAGAAGGCCUUCGGGUUGUAAAGCUCUUUCAGCAGGGAAGAAACGGUGGAUGCUAAUACCAUUUACUAAUGACGGUACCUGAAGAAGAAGCACCGGCUAACUACGUGCCAGCAGCCGCGGUAAUACGUAGGGUGCGAGCGUUAAUCGGAAUUACUGGGCGUAAAGCGUGCGCAGGCGGUUUUUUAAGCCAGAUGUGAAAUCCCCGGGCUUAACCUGGGAACUGCAUUUGGAACUGGAAGACUAGAGUGUAGCAGAGGGGGGUAGAAUUCCACGUGUAGCAGUGAAAUGCGUAGAUAUGUGGAGGAAUACCGAUGGCGAAGGCAGCCCCCUGGGUUAACACUGACGCUCAUGCACGAAAGCGUGGGGAGCAAACAGGAUUAGAUACCCUGGUAGUCCACGCCCUAAACGAUGUCAACUAGGUGUUGGGGGAGGAGACUUCCUUAGUACCGCAGCUAACGCGUGAAGUUGACCGCCUGGGGAGUACGGUCGCAAGAUUAAAACUCAAAGGAAUUGAC